AUUGAACGCUGGCGGCAGGCCUAACACAUGCAAGUCGAACGAGUGGCGGACGGGUGAGUAAUGUCUGGGAAACUGCCUGAUGGAGGGGGAUAACUACUGGAAACGGUAGCUAAUACCGCAUACCAUCAGAUGUGCCCAGAGGGGAUUGGCUGGUUGGUGGGGGAACGGCUCACAAAGGCGACGAUCCCUAGCUGGUCUGAGAGGAUGACCGGCCACACGGGAACUGGGAAACGGCCCAGACUCCGACGGGGGGAAGCAGUGGGGAAUAUUGCACAAUGGGCGCAAGCCUGAUGCAGCCAUGCCGCGUGUAUGAAGAAGGCCUUCGGGUUGUAAAGUACUUUCAGCGGGGAGGCGUUACCCGAAGAAGAAGCACCGGCUAACUCCGUGCCAGCCGCCGCGGUAAUAC
rnacentral:rRNA from 1 species